GUUUGACAAACUCGAAAAGAGGGGGAAAAGUAAUAAAAUGGUUACUUUAUAAGCAUUUACUUAAUUUCUAUCACGAAAUAAAUGCGUUUAAUAUUUUAGAUACAGAUACAAUAUAGUGCAUUCGUAAAUGUAAAACACUUUUUAAUAGAAAAUUUAAAAGAGAUACAUCAACAGUGUUUAUUUUAGAAUUGCUCAAGUCUGUAGGGCUUAUUCCCGAUUGUCC
rnacentral:lncRNA from 1 species